CUACGGGUGGUAGCAGUGGGGAAUAUUGGACAAUGGGCGAAAGCCUGAUCCAGCCAUGCCGCGUGUGUGAAGAAGGCCUUCGGGUUGUAAAGCACUUUCAGUGGGGAAGAAAGCCUUGGGGCUAAUACCCUCGAGGAAGGACAUCACCCACAGAAGAAGCACCGGCUAACUCCGUGCCAGCAGCCGCGGUAAUACGGAGGGUGCGAGCGUUAAUCGGAAUUACUGGGCGUAAAGCGCGCGUAGGCGGUCUGAUAAGCCGGUUGUGAAAGCCCCGGGCUCAACCUGGGAACGGCAUCCGGAACUGUCAGGCUAGAGUGCAGGAGAGGAAGGUAGAAUUCCCGGUGUAGCGGUGAAAUGCGUAGAGAUCGGGAGGAAUACCAGUGGCGAAGGCGGCCUUCUGGACUGACACUGACGCUGAGGUGCGAAAGCGUGGGUAGCAAACAGGAUUAGAUACCCUAGUAGUC
rnacentral:rRNA from 1 species